rnacentral:rRNA from 1 species
CCUACGGGGGGCAGCAGUGAGGAAUAUUGGUCAAUGGCCGGAAGGCUGAACCAGCCAUGCCGCGUGAAGGUCAGUGCCCUAUGGGCGUUAAACUUCUUUUGUGCGGGAGCAAUAAUGGUCACGUGUGGCCAGACGAGAGUACCGUACGAAUAAGCAUCGGCUAACUCCGUGCCAGCAGCCGCGGUAAUACGGGGGAUGCAAGCGUUAUCCGGAUUUAUUGGGUUUAAAGGGUGCGUAGGCUGUGAGGUAAGUCAGCGGUGAAAUGCCCCCGCUCAACGGGGUGAAGUGCCAUUGAUACUGCCUGGCUGGAAUGCGGAUGCCGUGGGAGGAAUGUGUGGUGUAGCGGUGAAAUGCAUAGAUAUCACACAGAACACCGAUUGCGAAGGCAUCUCACGAAUCCGCGAUUGACGCUGAUGCACGAAAGCGUGGGCAUCAAACAGGAUUAGAUACCCUAGUAGUC